CCUACGGGGGGCUGCAGUGAGGAAUAUUGGUCAAUGGACGGAAGUCUGAACCAGCCAUGCCGCGUGCAGGAAGACGGCUCUAUGAGUUGUAAACUGCUUUUGUACAAGGGUAAACCUGAAUACGUGUAUUCAGCUGAAAGUACUGUACGAAUAAGGAUCGGCUAACUCCGUGCCAGCAGCCGCGGUAAUACGGAGGAUCCAAGCGUUAUCCGGAUUUAUUGGGUUUAAAGGGUGCGUAGGCGGAUUGAUAAGUUAGAGGUGAAAUGUCCGAGCUUAACUCGGGAACUGCCUCUAAUACUGUUGAUCUAGAGAGUAGAUGCGGUAGGCGGAAUGUAUGGUGUAGCGGGGAAAUGCUUAGAGAUCAUACAGAACACCGAUUGCGAAGGCAGCUUACCAAUCUAUAUCUGACGUUGAGGCACGAAAGCGUGGGGAGCAAACAGGAUUAGAUACCCCAGUAGUC
rnacentral:rRNA from 1 species